rnacentral:rRNA from 1 species
AUUGAACGCUGGCGGCAUGCCUUACACAUGCAAGUCGAACGGUAACGCGGGGCAACCUGGCGACGAGUGGCGAACGGGUGAGUAAUACAUCGGAACGUGCCCAGUAGUGGGGGAUAGCCCGGCGAAAGCCGGAUUAAUACCGCAUACGACCUAAGGGUGAAAGCGGGGGAUCGCAAGACCUCGCGCUAUUGGAGCGGCCGAUGUCAGAUUAGGUAGUUGGUGGGGUAAAAGCCUACCAAGCCUACGAUCUGUAGCUGGUCUGAGAGGACGACCAGCCACACUGGGACUGAGACACGGCCCAGACUCCUACGGGAGGCAGCAGUGGGGAAUUUUGGACAAUGGGCGCAAGCCUGAUCCAGCCAUGCCGCGUGCGGGAAGAAGGCCUUCGGGUUGUAAACCGCUUUUGUCAGGGAAGAAACGCUCUGGGCUAAUACCCUGGGGUAAUGACGGUACCUGAAGAAUAAGCACCGGCUAACUACGUGCCAGCAGCCGCGGUAAUACGUAGGGUGCAAGCGUUAAUCGGAAUUACUGGGCGUAAAGCGUGCGCAGGCGGUUAUGCAAGACAGAUGUGAAAUCCCCGGGCUCAACCUGGGAACUGCAUUUGUGACUGCAUGGCUAGAGUGCGGC